ACGACGUUGAUAGGCCGGGUGUGUAAGCGCAGCGAUGCGUUGAGCUAACCGGUACUAAUGAACCGUGAGACUUAACCUUACAACGCCGAAGGUGUUU
rnacentral:rRNA from 1 species